rnacentral:ncRNA from 16 species
GCUGAUGACCACCACGCUUUUUAUUGACCAUUUUGCACGCAAACUGGAAAACCUGGCGUCGUCAUCUAUUCUUAAAGGGCAAGGCAACUAAGCCUGCAUUAAUGCCAACUUUUAGCGCACG